AUUGAACGCUGGCGGCAGGCUUAACACAUGCAAGUCGAACGAGUGGCGGCCGGGUGAGUAAUUCUUGGGAAUCUGGCUUGUGGAGGGGGAUAACGCCGGGAAACUGUCGCUAAUCCCGCGUACCAUAGGAUGAGCCCAAGUGGGAUUAGGUAGUUGGUGGGGUAAUGGCCUACCAGGCCGACGAUCUCUAGCUGGUCUGAGAGGGUUACACGUCAAACCGUGACGGAGACACGGCCCUGACUCCGACGGGAGGCAGUAGUGGGGAAUAUUGCGGAAUGGGGUCAACCUGACGCAGCCAUGCCGCGUGAAUGAAGAAGGCCUUAGGGUUGUAAAGUUAUUUCGGUGACGAGGCGUUAAUCACAGAAGAAGCACCGGCGAACUCCGUGCCAGCAGCCGCGGUAAUUC
rnacentral:rRNA from 1 species